AUUGAACGCUGGCGGCAUGCUUUACACAUGCAAGUCGAACGGUAACAGGUUAAGCUGACGAGUGGCGAACGGGUGAGUAAUGCAUCGGAACGUGCCCGGUCGUGGGGGAUAACGCAGCGAAAGCUGCGCUAAUACCGCAUACGAUCUGAGGAUGAAAGCGGGGGACCGUAAGGCCUCGCGCGAUCGGAGCGGCCGAUGUCAGAUUAGGUAGUUGGUGGGGUAAAGGCUCACCAAGCCGACGAUCUGUAGCUGGUCUGAGAGGACGACCAGCCACACUGGGACUGAGACCCGGCCCAGACUCCUACGGGAGGCAGCAGUGGGGAAUUUUGGACAAUGGGCGCAAGCCUGAUCCAGCAAUGCCGCGUGCAGGAAGAAGGCCUUCGGGUUGUAAACUGCUUUUGUACGGGGCGAAAAGGCUCUCUCUAAUACAGGGGGCUCAUGACGGUACCGUAAGAAUAAGCACCGGCUAACUACGUGCCAGCAGCCGCCGUAA
rnacentral:rRNA from 1 species